rnacentral:miRNA from 1 species
GAGCCAAUGUUCGUUAGUGAU